UGCUCCCUGCAGAGAACUAGCUGAUCAC
rnacentral:piRNA from 1 species